AUUCAAGAACUUAUGUGUGAAUUUUGUGUUUUGAAUUAAAGGUAGAGGUAAUUAUGAGGCUCUCGGGCCAUGUUAUGUUAAUGGUCAUACACAGACCACUGAGAAAAGGAAGAAUAAAGUACCUCAACUAAAAAGCUCUUUGGGAUGUUAUAAAAGCAAAGAAAAGGAGGAACAGAGGAAUGAAAAAUGUUGAUCCCAAUACUUGCAUUCCUUCAACAAAGAAGAUUGAAUUACUCAAGUUUUGGGGUAGAUCUUUUGACUGCCGAUGUCUUUGUGUGAUAUAAUCAUUUAAGAACUUACAAUGGAACGAUGAGUAUGCUACAACCACUAAGAGAAAAGCCACGAUAGAGAAAUGUAUAUCCAAGAGACUUAUGAUAAGUAACUUCAAAAAACAUUAUUAGGCGGUUUAUUUAUUUAUAAUAGCAAUAUUAUUGGCUAUUAAUUUUGUUCACAGGAGCAGUCUCAAUUGACAUCAAUGGAUCAUGUGAGAGGGGUAAAUGUUGCAAACUUAGCUGCUAUGGAGCAAAGUCGUAUGCUUGCUAAUACAUUAGCUCAGAACAAUGAUCUUAAAUUUCAGGUUUGCAAGCUAUGUUGUGCUGCCACUCUAUGAUUCUCUUGUUUUCAACAUGAAGAUAUUCUUCUGCAUGUGUUUAUUGCUUCUAACUGUCAUAUAUAUUUUUUCCAUGUCUUUUUGAGUGUGUGUGAUGAUACAAGUAUUGUGAUCGAUACACUUUUCGUUGAUUACAAUUAUGCAUAUGUUGUUGGGCCGUUAGUUUCUGGAACUUACUCAUCUUUUAAGAUGUUUGAAGAAGGGAAAUCAAUGGCAAACUACCAUUUAGAUUUUUAGGUAUUUAUUAUAUUAGUGUUCCAUUUUGUAAUUCUUGCAUUUGAUUAUUACCCAUUGAAUGCUCUUGAAAUGAAAAGAUGGUUCUUUGUCUCAAUUUCAUUGUUUAAGAUUCACUGGUGCACAUUCUGUUCAAUAAUUUAAUUUUCUUUAUUGUGUUUCAAAAUAUUAGAAUCAUAUUUCAGUAUUUUAUGUAUUUUGAUGUUAUGUAUUGACAAAGCAAGUCCUUUUGUUCUGGUUGUUAUAAUUAUACAGUUCUUGGGUGUGGUAAAAAUUCAUUCUUUAUGUUAUCUUUACUGAUAUUAGGAUGUGAAUGUAUUAUUAAUUGGAUUUUAAUUUCAAACAAUUUAGUAAUAUAUUUUUAGUUGCAAUUAUAAAUUAGGUGUAUGCAAUUUCACUAUAAUUCAAUGUUGUGUCAAACUAUGAGAGUCUUUCUUUAAUGUUUCAUUAUUUAAAUUAGGGGUAUGAGACAUACAUAUUUGACAUCUGGUGAAAUUUUUUAGACUUGUUUAUUUCAGUUGACUAGCACCGUAGCACAUAUGGUGAUCUUGUAUAAAAGCUCUGAUUUUAUCUAAUAACAUACUUACACAUUUAUAUAUGUAAAAAUUUAUAUGCCAAUACAAACCACACGUUUUAUGUGAGCUUUACAUAUUUGGCAUAUUUGUCUCGUUUACUGUAUAAAUAUAUAGACAUCCAUAUUAAUAUAUAGACACAUCCAGAUUCUUAAUUCAUAGUUAGUUUCUUAACAUUUGUAAAUAUUUAUUUACUAAUUAUUUUUUUUGUUUAAAAAAUGCAUUGAUGAGCAAAUGAGAAAAGCUUGGAAGGGUCAUAAGUAGAAGCUGCACUUAUAUUUCAAAGAAAUUGGAGGAGAAAAUGAUCUUGAGAUGACCAAGAGCAAACGUCAUCCAGACUUAAAAGAAGAACAGCAAGAAGAUUGGAUGAUUUUGUGUGAUCGUUGGUGUUCUCCUGAAUUUAAGGUAGCAUUUUUUAUGGCACCGCCUCCACCACCUCCAACAGACCAAGCUUCAGAUGCAAAUUUAAGAGAGUCGCCAUCUUUUUCAGUUCGGGAGUCACAAGAUGAUUCUUAGUUUAUUUACAUUAAUUUACUAAGGAAUGAACUUUAUAAAGUUUUUAUUUUUAUUUUGGUAGGGUAACCUUAAAAGGAUAACUUUAUGACUUAUUAUAGUAUUGAACACUAUAAAGAAUUUUAGCAUUAAACAUUUUAUUA